rnacentral:lncRNA from 1 species
GUGUAGACUUUAUUUUGGAUUAAGUUGAAUUGAUUGUCUUUGGCGUCAGAUUAGUGCCUCCCACUCCACAUUGAAAAUCUAAUUAUUCAGCUACAUUUGCACAGUUGGGUGCUCUCAGAAUGGUUCAUGUUAGUGUCUUAUUUCUGAUAUGAAAUUUUGGAAAGGAAGAUGUACUGUGGAUCUGAUGACAUAUUAGAGGUGAUGUAAUCAAGUAGCCUUAGGCAGCAGUAAUUUCAUUUUUAAACAAGCAAGCAAUAGCUUUAUAGCCUCUAAUAUAUGGUACAUU